rnacentral:rRNA from 1 species
UAGUGGCGAACGGGUGAGUAACACGUGGGCAAUCUGCCCUUCACUCUGGGACAAGCCCUGGAAACGGGGUCUAAUACCGGAUAAUACUCCUGCCUGCAUGGGCGGGGGUUGAAAGCUCCGGCGGUGAAGGAUGAGCCCGCGGCCUAUCAGCUUGUUGGUGGGGUAAUGGCCCACCAAGGCGACGACGGGUAGCCGGCCUGAGAGGGCGACCGGCCACACUGGGACUGAGACACGGCCCAGACUCCUACGGGAGGCAGCAGUGGGGAAUAUUGCACAAUGGGCGAAAGCCUGAUGCAGCGACGCCGCGUGAGGGAUGACGGCCUUCGGGUUGUAAACCUCUUUCAGCAGGGAAGAAGCGAAAGUGACGGUACCUGCAGAAGAAGCGCCGGCUAACUACGUGCCAGCAGCCGCGGUAAUACGUAGGGCGCAAGCGUUGUCCGGAAUUAUUGGGCGUAAAGAGCUCGUAGGCGGCUUGUCACGUCGGAUGUGAAAGCCCGAGGCUUAACCUCGGGUCUGCAUUCGAUACGGGCUAGCUAGAGUGUGGU